rnacentral:misc_RNA from 1 species
UCCGAGUUGACCCCGGCAGUCUCCCGCAAGUCCCCAACCACCCCGAAAGGUGUUGCUGGCAAUACAGGACAAGGGUUGCGCUCGUUGCGGGACUUAACCCAACAUCUCACGACACGAGCUGACGACAACCAUGCACCACCUGUACACGACCCCAAAGGACACGCGAUCUCUCGCGCUGCACCGUGCAUGUCAAGCCCUGGUAAGGUUCUUCGCGUCGCAUCGAAUUAAGCCGCAUGCUCCGCCGCUUGUGCGGGCCCCCGUCAAUUCCUUUGAGUUUUAGCCUUGCGGCCGUACUCCCCAGGCGGGGCGCUUAAUGCGUUAGCUCCGGCACGGAAACCGUGGAAACAGUCCCCACACCUAGCGCCCAACGUUUACAGCGUGGACUAC